CACUACGAACCGCACCGAACCGUCCGAAAAACCGAAACCAUCCCAAAGCUCUGCAGCACCUCAGCGACGAGACGAACCAAAAAAAUCUGACCGACCGCCAACCGAGCCACAGUGUUGGAGAUGUGGUAGAAGGGGUCAUCUCCGAUCACAAUGCACCUCGAAGCCGCUGCUGUUCUGCUCUCGAUGUGGUAAGAGGGGUAUCAUGUCUAGGGACUGUAGGUGUUCGUUAAACUACCAAGGAACAGCCUGAAACCGGGGAUCCGCCAGUUCCAAACAACCAUGUCUUCGGUUCCUGAGAAAGGAAAACCAACUGAUCACCGUCCGUUUAUUAAUGUUUUUGUAGGAGACAAGGAGUUCGCUGCACUCUUGGACACCGGAGCUACCAGGUCCUUCAUCAGCAGUGAAGUGGCCGCCCACUGUAAGGUAGUUGGUAUACAACCCGGAUUAUGUUAGAGACGUUACCACCACCGUCGCUAACGGAAGUUCCAUACCCAUUAGAGAAAUAUAUACCGCACCGAUCCGGAUUGGGCCUGGAAGCUAAAUUGUUAUUAGUUUCAGAUCUACCUGUCGAUGUAGUCCUGGGAAUGGAUAUACUGAGGACACACAAUUUUUCAAUCAACCUGCAAACCGCCGAAUGUUUCCUGAAUGGAAGGUCUAUCCAAGCCCGUCCCAGUGAAUCAGAGAACCGAGGACAGUUACAUGCGAUAGGACCGCUUUUGACGUCCCUGAGUGGAGAAGAGAAAGUCCGACUGGAAGAGUUCUUGCAAACCGAAUUGAAGGCAUUCGAAGACCUCCGAGGAACCACACCCCUGAUCCAACCGUAUUAAACUCAAACCAGGCACCGAACCCAUCAAGCAGCGUUAUCGUCCCCAAAAUCCGAAGAUGCAGGAAAUAAUAAACCAGGAAGUUGACCGAAUGUUGGCCGAAGGCAUCAUUGAACCGUCCUCAUCUCCGUGGAGCUCACCAAUAGUAAUUGUCCAGAAAAAGGAUGGUACCGUUAGCCCCCGAGAGCCGACCGAUCACCGCAUUUACCGUCCCUAGCCGUGGGCUGUUCCAGUUCAAAGUAAUGGCUUUUGGUCUGCAUUCCGCACCGGCAUCCUUUCAACGUCUUUUAGACCGAGUUAUUGGCCUUGAGAUGAAACCGGAUGCAUUUGCGUACUUGGAUGACAUAGUGGUUCUCGGAGAGACAUUGGACGAACAUCUUGACAACCUAAGGAAAGUUUUCCACCGCCUCAGGGAGGCCAACCUGCAGUUAAAUCCGGAAAAAUAUUUCAGCCAUAAAUGAAAUGCCUGCACCGAAAUCCGUACGAGAGCUGAGAAGUUUUCUUGGUGUUGCUUCAUGGUACCGUAGAUUCAUCGAGGAUUUCUCCAGGGUUGUGGCUCCGUUAAGCGCAUUACUCAAAAAGAAGCAAACCUGGAAAUGGGA